rnacentral:rRNA from 1 species
CCUACGGGUGGCAGCAGUGGGGAAUAUUGCACAAUGGGGGAAACUCUGAUGUAGCGAAGCCGCGUGAAGGAAGAAGUAUUUCGGUAUGUAAACUUCUAUCAACAGGGAAGAAAAUGACGGUACCUGACUAAGAAUCCCCGGAUAACUACUUGCCAGCAGCCGCGGUAAUAUGUAGGGGGCAAGCGUUAUCCGGAUUUAAUGGGUGUAAAGGGAAAGUAGGCGGUUUAGCAAGUCAGAAGUGAAAGCCCGGGGCUCAACUCCGGGAUUGCUUUUGAAACUGGUGAACUAGAUUGCAGGAGAGGUAAGUGGAAUUCCUAGUGUAGCGGUGAAAUGCGUAGAUAUUAGGAGGAACACCAGUGGCGAAGGCGGCUUACUGGACUGUAAAUGACGCUGAGGCUCGAAAGCGUGGGGAGCAAACAGGAUUAGAUACCCCGGUAGUC